rnacentral:rRNA from 1 species
GGUUAAGCGACUAAGCGUACACGGUGGAUGCCCUGGCAGUCAGAGGCGAUGAAGGACGUGCUAAUCUGCGAAAAGCGUCGGUAAGGUGAUAUGAACCGUUAUAACCGGCGAUGUCCGAAUGGGGAAACCCAGUGUGAUUCGUCACACUAUCGUUAACUGAAUACAUAGGUUAACGAGGCGAACCGGGGGAACUGAAACAUCUAAGUACCCCGAGGAAAAGAAAUCAACCGAGAUUCCCCCAGUAGCGGCGAGCGAACGGGGAGCAGCCCAGAGUCUGAAUCAGCUUGUGUGUUAGUGGAACGGUCUGGAAAGUCCGACGGUACAGGGUGAUAGUCCCGUACACCAAAAUGCACAGGUUGUGAACUCGAAGAGUAGGGCGGGACACGUGGUAUCCUGUCUGAAUAUGGGGGGACCAUCCUCCAAGGCUAAAUACUCCUGACUGACCGAUAGUGAACCAGUACCGUGAGGGAAAGGCGAAAAAAAGAACCCCGGCGAGGGGAGUGAAAAAAGAACCUGAAACCGUGUACGUACAAGCAGUGGGAGC